GAGCGGCAGCGGAAGUAGCUUGCUACUUUGCCGGCGAGCGGCGGACGGGUGAGUAGUGUCUGGGAAACUGCCUGAUGGAGGGGGAUAACUACUGGAAACGGUAGCUAAUACCGCAUAACGUCGCAAGACCAAAGAGGGGGACCUUCGGGCCUCUUGCCAUCAGAUGUGCCCAGAUGGGAUUAGCUAGUAGGUGGGGUAACGGCUCACCUAGGCGACGAUCCCUAUCUGGUCUGAGAGGAUGACCAGCCACACUGGAACUGAGACACGGUCCAGACUCCUACGGGAGGCAGCAGUGGGGAAUAUUGCACAAUGGGCGCAAGCCUGAUGCAGCCAUGCCGCGUGUAUGAAGAAGGCCUUCGGGUUGUAAAGUACUUUCAGCGGGGAGGAAGGCGUUGAGGUUAAUAACCUCAGCGAUUGACGUUACCCGCAGAAGAAGCACCGGCUAACUCCGUGCCAGCAGCCGCGGUAAUACGGAGGGUGCAAGCGUUAAUCGGAAUUACUGGGCGUAAAGCGCACGCAGGCGGUCUGUCAAGUCGGAUGUGAAAUCCCCGGGCUCAACCUGGGAACUGCAUUCGAAACUGGCAGGCUAGAGUCUUGUAGAGGGGGGUAGAAUUCCGGGUGUAGCGGUGAAAUGCGUAGAGAUCUGGAGGAAUACCGGUGGCGAAGGCGGCCCCCUGGACAAAGACUGACGCUCAGGUGCGAAAGCGUGGGGGAGCAAACGGGAUUAUAUACCCUGGUACUCCACGCCGUAAACAAUGUCGACUUGGAG
rnacentral:rRNA from 1 species